rnacentral:rRNA from 1 species
GGAGGGGGGAAUUUCCGGACAGUUCGAGAGUUGACGACCUUGUGUCGGUCACAUUCCCCCAUGUUUGUGUUUUUGUGUGAAACGAGACAGAAGGAAGCGAAGAUGAAGAGGUUGAGAGGCAGGUUGGGUCUUAAGGGUUUUUGUGGUGUUGAUAGCUCUGGUAUGAGUGGUGGCCUAGCCGUGUACUGGCAUGAAAACUGUGUGGUAGAUGUU